GACGAACGCUGGCGGCGUGCCUAAUACAUGCAAGUCGAACGCAGUGGGGACGGGUGAGUAACACGUUGGUAACCUCCCAUCAGAGGGGAUAACACUUGGAAACAGGGGCUAAACCGAUCUUGAGGGAUGGACCCGCGGUGCAUUAGCUAGGUGGUGAGGUAACGGCUCACCAAGGCCACGAUGCAUAGCCGACCUGAGAGGGUGAUCGGCCACACUGGGACUGAGACACGGCCCAGAAUCCUACGGGAGGCAGCAGUAGGGAAUCGGCGGCAAUGGACGAAAGUCUGACCGAGCAACGCCGCGUGAGGGAAGAAGGUUUUCGGAUCGUAAAACUCUGUUGUUAGAGAAGCGGUAUCUAACCAGAUAGCCACGGCUAACUACGUGCCAGCAGCCUCGGUAAUUC
rnacentral:rRNA from 1 species